UACGUAGGGGGCGAGCGUUGUCCGGAUUUACUGGGCGUAAAGCGCGUGUAGGCGGCUGGAUAAGUUGGGUGUGAAAGCCCGGGGCUCAACCCCGGGACGCCGCCCAAGACUGUUCGGCUUGAGGACGGAAGAGGGGCGUGGAAUUCCUGGUGUAGCGGUGAAAUGCGUAGAGAUCAGGAGGAACACCCGUGGCGAAGGCGGCGCCCUGGUCCGUUUCUGACGCUGAGACGCGAAAGCGCGGGGAGCGAACGGG
rnacentral:rRNA from 1 species